AUUGAACGCUGGCGGCAUGCUUUACACAUGCAAGUCGAACGGUAACAGGUUAAGCUGACGAGUGGCGAACGGGUGAGUAAUGCAUCGGAACGUGCCCGAUCGUGGGGGAUAACACUUCGAAAGAAGUGCUAAUACCGCAUACGAUCUGAGGAUGAAAGCGGGGGACCGUAAGGCCUCGCGCGAUCGGAGCGGACGAUGUCAGAUUAGGUAGUUGGUGGGGUAAAGGCUCACCAAGCCGACGAUCUGUAGCUGGUCUGAGAGGACGACCAGCCACACUGGGACUGAGACACGGCCCAGACUCCUACGGGAGGCAGCAGUGGGGAAUUUUGGACAAUGGGCGCAAGCCUGAUCCAGCAAUGCCGCGUGCAGGAAGAAGGCCUUCGGGUUGUAAACUGCUUUUGUACGGAGCGAAAAGGUUCUCUCUAAUACAGAGGGCUCAUGACGGUACCGUAAGAAUAAGCACCGGCUAACUACGUGCCAGCCGCCGCCGUAA
rnacentral:rRNA from 1 species